AUCCAUUUAAAAAAAGAUACGGUUUAUGGUUCACUUGUAAUAAAUGCUAUUCAUGGAUAUCAGUCACGUGACUUUUUUGUUGUGGCCGCCAUCUUUAGGACCGCUGCGCAGCCCCUCCUGCGUUAGAAUGAAUGAUGUCGCACACGAAAAUAGCACACCUCACCACCGACGAAAAGCAACGGUAUUUGAAGAAGGUUGAUACGUUAGGUUUUGAUCCAUAUCUACUGUCCAGUGAACUUCUGACUCCACUAGUCUAGCAAAAACCUGCCAAAUUUGACAUUUGCUGAUAUUUACAUUUACCUCGUCCACAAUCCAUCUCCAUACACCGGGGAAGCCCUCAAGGCGUUUAAAAGCACCGAAGCCUACCGCUACUUCACCUCAGGAUGGGUUAAUGAUCCCAAAAUUCAUCAUCUGGAGAUGUAGAAAAUGUUCUUGAUCACAGGAAGGGUGAAGCAUUCACAAAGCCUCAGUGUAACCCCAACACACCCCUGGAUCACAGUACAGGAUGAUGGGAGUGUUUUAAUGGCUCAUUGUACCUGUAAGGCAGGUUUAGGAGAGGUAUGCUCACAUGCAUCAGCUCUACUGUAUUGUGUGUUGGCUGCUGUUGAUAUCAGGAAAGCCCUGUGCAUGGGCCCAGCCAAGUACGGCGUCUGUCAGAGAUUUAACAUGCAGAGAUCCAAAACAUCAAUUUCUGUCAUAACCGAGAGCCCCGUCAUGUUCAAGGCCCUGGUUCUCCUGAUAUUAGACCAUCAGAUGAAGAGUGCAGGAUGUUUUUUGAGAUGCUUCAUCAGAGUGAGAAGCAAGAGUCUAAGCCAAAGAAAAGUGCCAUCCUUUCUGUCAUUGAGGGCCACUCCCACAGGUACAUGCCAAAGGUGAUGUAGCUGGACUUGCCCACUCCUUUGUCAACCUUAUAUUCAAGCUCCUGGCUAGAGGUAGACCUGCCCACACUACUGGUUGAGACUUCCAAGGUCUUUGAUAACCAACAUCUGACACAGCAACAGGUAAAUAUUAUAAAAACAGGUUGGUGUUAAUAUUUCCAUUUGUCAAUCUCUUCAGUUGAAAAUCAAAGUAAUCACUAGUAAAAUUAUUUCUGCCUGUGAAGUUGAAAUUCAUGACAAGUCAACUAACUAAUGAACAAACUAACUUUUCCAGUGUUUGGUAGUUGAGGAGGAGACCAGGGAGCAGAGUAAAAGUAGGGUAUGGUUUGAUCAGAGGGCAGGAAGAGUCACAGCGUCGGUAUUCUGCGAGGCAGCCAAAGCAAACAAACCCGUAUCCUUGAUCAAAAGGAUUUGCUAUCCGCUCUCUUCUCAGUUUUCCACUGAGGCAACAAGGUGCGUAGAGUAAAGCACAAUUAAACAUGCAGGUUGGAUUUGUGUAGCCAUGAUGUAACCAGGUUAGCUAUUCAAGUCAAAGAGAAGAUUACAAGCAAAUUAUAAGCAAAGGCAUUUAUGAGUGGUCAGAGUGCAACACAUUUAGGUAAAUGUUGAUAGGCAUUAAAUGUCAUUCAGACAAAUACAAUACAAUUUAAUAAACAGUUUAUAUUUAAAUUUUUGUCAGAUGGGGUCAAGUGAAUGAGGGAAGAGCAAGGGCAAACUAUGUAGCUAUGACUCAAGAUCACCACGAAGACUUCCAGGUCCAUCAACAACUAAGAGAUGAAUGAUAUGUUCAUAGUGCUGGGCGAUAUAGACAAAAUAUUAUCACAUUUCAUUUCAUUCAAUAUUGAUUAUUCUCAUGAUAAAUGUCAAAUUAUUAUUUCUUUUGAGCUUAAAGGCUGAUUAUUGCUCCAGAGUGAAAGUUGAAGAAACCAGGUGGUUAAUUGUGGUUCUAAACUAUAUUUUUAUGGUCAGAAUGUGACAAACCGUGGAUCACUUCACAAAUCUGA